CACCCAGCACGCUUGUACAAGGCUAACCCACCAAGGAUUUUAAACAGGCACACUGCAGCUAAGAAAGAUGCUAUUGCAACGUGAUCAAUCUGCAGUGGGUACUGGGGUCCCAGGGAUAUGGCAGGAAAAACAAUUUCUUCUGAUCUGAAACCUGGCUCAGAGGAUCCCUCACAGAGACCGAGUUUGAUAAUAUUCACUGAAGACAUUUUUGACUUAGAGAAAUACAAUAUAAAAUGGAGCCUGGCAGAAGAUGUGAUCUUAGCUAAAGAGCCAACUGCAUUAAGAGCAUCACUCUGCUGGAGCAAUUACACAUGGUAA
rnacentral:lncRNA from 1 species